GAUGAAGAACGUAGCGAAAUGCGAUAAGUAAUGUGAAUUGCAGAAUUCAGUGAAUCAUCGAAUCUUUGAACGCACAUUGCGCCCGCCAGCAUUCUGGCGGGCAUGCCUGUUCGAGCGUCAUUUCAACCCUCGAGCCCCCCCGGGGGCCUCGGUGUUGGGGGACGGCACACCAGCCGCCCCCGAAAUGCAGUGGCGACCUCGCCGCAGCCUCCCCUGCGUAGUAGCACACACCUCGCACCGGAGCGCGGAGACGGUCACGCCGUAAAACGCCCAACUUCUUAGAGUUGACCUCGGAUCAGGUAGGAAUACCCGCUGAACUUAAGCAUACAAUAAGCGGAGGA
rnacentral:misc_RNA from 1 species